rnacentral:rRNA from 1 species
UACAGAGGUCCCAAGCGUUACUGAGAAUCACUGGGUUUAAAGGGUGCGUAGGUGGUCUGUUAAGUCUGUUGUGAAAUCCCCGGGCUCAACCCGGGAAUAGCUUCAGAUACUGGCAGACUUGAGGCCAGUAGAGGUCACUAGAACAGACGGUGGAGCGGUGAAAUGCGUAGAUAUCGUCUGGAAUGCCUGUGGUGAAGACGGGUGACUGGGCUGGUUCUGACACUGAGGCACGAAAGCGUGGGGAGCGAACAGG